rnacentral:lncRNA from 1 species
AGCAGGACAGUUCCUGUGGUAUCCUGGUGACUGUGGGCCAGGAGCUACGCUCACUGUAUAGAUACCUCCCCUGGACCCAAGGCUAGUUGGAGGCUGGCUUCAGUCUAGGAUGGUUUCAUUUUGUCAAGUAAGUUUGCUUCUUUGGCUCUCAAAAGUCAUCAGGAUAGGGGUUAUUACCCAUUUUACAGGUGAGAAACUGAAGCGCAAAGAGAGUGUAUGACAUGCCCGAGUCACAGAGCAAGAUGGUAGCAGGAUCCUGACUAGAACUUGGCCUCCUGGCUGCCAGAUCCCUGCACAGGAUGCUUUGGACCAGCUGCCUCCAUGGAAGGGAAAGCAGGCCUGGGAGUCUGGACACAUGUGUCGUCCUCGCUUUUUGGUCACCAUGUGUCAAAGCCACAUUCUGCAUGUUUAUGUGUGUGUGAGUGCCCUUGCUGGAUGACCUCAGCCAAAGCCGUUGCGUCUCUGUUCCCAGGAAAGAAAGGCAACAUACCCAGGGAUUGUGGGGCAGGGCACUUGGCUAGGUGGUUUACAGAGCAACAAGGUCACCUCACAGUUAGUGCCAAGGCCCACAGCAUCUCCAACAAGAGCACGGGGCUGGUGGCCCACGGGCAGACUCUGGCUUGGGGCCCCAGCCUCUAUUCCCAGGCUCAGCCUUGUUCUGUGCUGUCACAAAGAAGAAGGUGGUGAUGACCACAUGGCUCGCUACAGUCAAGGCCGCUUGGGCCUGACCUGAUUGCAGCACCAGCUCCCACUCCCUCUCAGGUGCCAGAGAUAAAUGGAUGGAGUUUGCUGUGCAGCCUGCCCCGGCCCCCCGCUGUUUACCCGCAGCCCUGUGCCGACAGGCAGUGCUGACAACAGCCAGGUUGGGGAAGGACAGGCAGCCACCAGCAUGUUAAUAAUACAGACCUUGGCCCAGGCACUGUGUAGACAGGUGGUACCUCCUCAGAAACCUUCUUGACCCCUGCAGGCCAGGUCUAGUGUCCCCGUGCCACCCCCAUCCCUGCACUGCUCACUCUGGGUGACACUGCCUGGCAUCGCGGCUGCGACCUGCAGCUCAGUGAGCGUGGGACUGGAACAUGAAACAGG